rnacentral:rRNA from 1 species
CCCUGCUCAGAUUGAACGCUGGCGGCAGGCCUAACACAUGCAAGUCGAGCGGUAGAGAGAAGCUUGCUUCUCUUGAGAGCGGCGGACGGGUGAGUAAUGCCUAGGAAUCUGCCUGGUAGUGGGGGAUAACGUUCGGAAACGGACGCUAAUACCGCAUACGUCCUACGGGAGAAAGCAGGGGACCUUCGGGCCUUGCGCUAUCAGAUGAGCCUAGGUCGGAUUAGCUAGUUGGUGAGGUAAUGGCUCACCAAGGCGACGAUCCGUAACUGGUCUGAGAGGAUGAUCAGUCACACUGGAACUGAGACACGGUCCAGACUCCUACGGGAGGCAGCAGUGGGGAAUAUUGGACAAUGGGCGAAAGCCUGAUCCAGCCAUGCCGCGUGUGUGAAGAAGGUCUUCGGAUUGUAAAGCACUUUAAGUUGGGAGGAAGGGCAGUUACCUAAUACGUAAUUGUUUUGACGUUACCGACAGAAUAAGCACCGGCUAACU